GAAGUAAAAGUCGUAACAAGGUCUCCGUUGGUGAACCAGCGGAGGGAUCAUUACCGAGUUUACAACUCCCAAACCCCUGUGAACAUACCACUUGUUGCCUCGGCGGAUCAGCCCGCUCCCGGUAAAACGGGACGGCCCGCCAGAGGACCCCUAAACUCUGUUUCUAUAUGUAACUUCUGAGUAAAACCAUAAAUAAAUCAAAACUUUCAACAACGGAUCUCUUGGUUCUGGCAUCGAUGAAGAACGCAGCAAAAUGCGAUAAGUAAUGUGAAUUGCAGAAUUCAGUGAAUCAUCGAAUCUUUGAACGCACAUUGCGCCCGCCAGUAUUCUGGCGGGCAUGCCUGUUCGAGCGUCAUUUCAACCCUCAAGCACAGCUUGGUGUUGGGACUCGCGUUAAUUCGCGUUCCUCAAAUUGAUUGGCGGUCACGUCGAGCUUCCAUAGCGUAGUAGUAAAACCCUCGUUACUGGUAAUCGUCGCGGCCACGCCGUUAAACCCCAACUUCUGAAUGUUGACCUCGGAUCAGGUAGGAAUACCCGCUGAACUUAAGCAUAUCAAUAAGCGGAGGA
rnacentral:rRNA from 1 species